CAGUCGAGCGAAGCGCAUAAGUUUGAUUCUUCGGAUGAAGAUUUUUGUGACUGUUAGGCGGACGGGUGAGUAACGCGUGGGUAACCUGCCUUACACAGGGGGAUAACAGUUAGAAAUGACUGCUAAUACCGCAUAAGACCCCGGUACCGCAUGGUACAGAGGUAAAAACUGAGGUGGUGUAAGAUGGACCCGCGUCUGAUUAGGUAGUUGGUGAGGUAACGGCUCACCAAGCCGACGAUCAGUAGCCGGCCUGAGAGGGUGGACGGCCACAUUGGGACUGAGACACGGCCCAGACUCCUACGGGAGGCAGCAGUGGGGAAUAUUGCACAAUGGGGGAAACCCUGAUGCAGCGACGCCGCGUGAGCGAUGAAGUAUUUCGGUAUGUAAAGCUCUAUCAGCAGGGAAGAAAAUGACGGUACCUGACUAAGAAGCCCCGGCUAACUACGUGCCAGCAGCCGCGGUAAUACGUAGGGGGCAAGCGUUAUCCGGAUUUACUGGGUGUAAAGGGAGCGUAGACGGCAUGGCAAGCCAGAUGUGAAAUACCGGGGCUCAACCCCGGGACUGCAUUUGGAACUGUUAAGCUGGAGUGUCGGAGAGGCAGGCGGAAUUCCUAGUGUAGCGGUGAAAUGCGUAGAUAUUAGGAGGAACACCAGUGGCGAAGGCGGCCUGCUGGACGAUAACUGACGUUGAGGCUCGAAAGC
rnacentral:rRNA from 1 species